ACCAACAGGGAUUGCCCUAGUAACGGCGAGUGAAGCGGCAACAGCUCAAAUUUGAAAUCUGGCCCUUGUGGUCCGAGUUGUAAUUUGUAGAGGAUGCUUUUGGUGCGGUACCUUCCGAGUUCCCUGGAACGGGACGCCAUAGAGGGUGAGAGCCCCGUCUGGUUGGAUACCAAUCCUCUGUAAAGCUCCUUCGACGAGUCGAGUAGUUUGGGAAUGCUGCUCAAAAUGGGAGGUAUAUGUCUUCUAAAGCUAAAUAUUGGCCAGAGACCGAUAGCGCACAAGUAGAGUGAUCGAAAGAUGAAAAGCACUUUGAAAAGAGGGUUAAAUAGUACGUGAAAUUGUUGAAAGGGAAGCGUUUGUGACCAGACUUGGGCUUGGUUAAUCAUCCAGCGUUCUCGCUGGUGCACUUUGCCAGCCCAGGCCAGCAUCAGUUUGCUGCGGGGGAUAAAAGUUUCGGGAAUGUGGCUCCUCGGAGUGUUAUAGCCCGUUGCACAAUACCCUGUGGUGGACUGAGGUUCGCGCAUCUGCAAGGAUGCUGGCGUAAUGGUCAUCAACGACCCGUCUUGAAACACGGACCAAGGAGUCGUCUUCGUAUGCGAGUGUUCGGGUGUCAAACCCCUACGCGUAAUGAAAGUGAACGGAGGUGGGAGCCUCGGCGCACCAUCGACCGAUCCUGAUGUUUUCGGAUGGAUUUGAGUAAGAGCAUACGGGGCCGGACCCGAAAGAAGGUGAACUAUGCCUGUAUAGGGUGAAGCCAGAGGAAACUCUGGUGGAGGCUCGCAGCGGUUCUGACGUGCAAAUCGAUCGUCAAAUAUGGGCAUGGGGGCGAAAGACUAAUCGAAC
rnacentral:rRNA from 1 species